rnacentral:rRNA from 1 species
GGGUAGUCGCAUGGUAAGCAUUAAAGGAGCAAUCCGCUAUGAGAUGGGCCCGCGGCGCAUUAGCUAGUUGGUGAGGUAACGGCUCACCAAGGCGACGAUGCGUAGCCGACCUGAGAGGGUGAUCGGCCACAUUGGGACUGAGACACGGCCCAGACUCCUACGGGAGGCAGCAGUGGGGAAUAUUGCACAAUGGGGGAAACCCUGAUGCAGCAACGCCGCGUGAGUGAUGACGGCCUUCGGGUUGUAAAGCUCUGUCUUCAGGGACGAUAAUGACGGUACCUGAGGAGGAAGCCACGGCUAACUACGUGCCAGCAGCCGCGGUAAUACGUAGGUGGCGAGCGUUGUCCGGAUUUACUGGGCGUAAAGGGAGCGUAGGCGGAUUUUUAAGUGAGAUGUGAAAUACUCGGGCUUAACCUGAGUGCUGCAUUUCAAACUGGAAGUCUAGAGUGCAGGAGAGGAGAAGGGAAUUCCUAGUGUAGCGGUGAAAUGCGUAGAGUU